UUCUAUAUUAGUCACUACCUCGCGGGUUCCUCUUUCUCCUCGUUGCAUCGUCUUGUGGUGUGGAAGGUUCCUGGUAGAACUUAAACCGCAAUUAAGUGAAACAAUGUUUAACCUUUGUUUUUCAAAAUAUCACGUAGUCCAUGAAGGCUCGUAUGCAGGCUUGGGACCAGUAGUAUGGGCGCCGUGUAGGUGCUCGAUGGCAAUGGCGGGGUCCGUGGGGAAACUGCAUCCAAUAAAGGCUUCCAGAAGAGUGCAUGUGGUAACGAAACCCAAUUCAACGGCUAGACCUCCUAGACGCUGAUGACGGACAAUGCAGCCGUGCAGACGACUACGCUUGUUGUUUAGGGAAGGAGAAGCAGAUCACAUAUUCACCACCUCAAGACUUGGAUGUCUUACUCUUGUCUUACAUUCCUGGGACUGCUCCAUGGGUCAAACUGGAGGUGUGGCAGCACCCAGCUGGAUGACCACCACAGCCUAGUUCUACAUUCACAUUGACUGCUCUGUGAGCUAAACUGGAAGAGGUAGCAAAACCUCCAGACUGCAGCUGGUGUAUUUUGAAUACUACACUGGUUAUACUAGGAAGGAGAAGCAGAUCCCAUAUUCACCACCUCGAGAGUUGUGAUGUCUUAUUCUACAUUGACUCUGAGCUAAAGUUGAAGAGGUAGCACAACCUCAAGACUGCAGUUUGUGGUGGUGUAAUUUGCAGCCGUGCAGACGACUACGCUUGUUGUUUAGGGAAGGAGAAGCAGAUCACAUAUUCACCAACUCGAGACUUGGAUGUCUUACUCUAAUUUCCCAGCACUGCUUCAAUGGUCAAACUGGAGGUGUAGCACCGCCCAGGGCUACCAUAACCUACAGAAUAGUUAUACAUUCCUGGGACUGCUCCAUGGGUCAAACUGGAGGUGUAGCAGCACCCAGCUGGAUGACCACCACAGCCUAGUUCUACAUUGACUCUGAGCUAAAGUUGAAGAGGUAGCACAACCUCAAGACUGCAGUUGGUGAUGGUGUAAUUGACAACACUUGUAACGGGAAGGAGAAGCAGAUCUCAUAUUCACCAGCACCUCAAGACUUGUGGUCUUGCUCUACCUUCUCAAGGACCGCUGCAUGAGUUGAACCGGGUCCAGGACUUCUGCUGGCUGUUGUUUAGAUCUGUGCUGAUGGGACUCCGGUAAAUUAAUUAAAGUGACGGGAAUACCAUAAUUUGUAGCCGCUGAUGACAACCUUUUAUUGCUGACGCCUUGUAUGAUGGCUAGUCAAUAGCACAAUGCUCUGUUUUAAUUCCUUAUCCAUCACCACUGGUGCAUAUGAUGUCACAGAAUAGCCUUUUGAUCACAUACUGGUUC